GGAAGUAAAAGGUUAUACUAACGGUAUUAUAGGUGAACCUGCGGAAGGAUCAUUAAAGAGUUAGGGUC
rnacentral:rRNA from 1 species